rnacentral:misc_RNA from 1 species
UCUCCGUUGGUGAACCAGCGGAGGGAUCAUUACCGAGUUCCAACAACUCCCAAAUCUUUCUAACCGUACCCCAGUCUGUUCUCGUUGCUUCCGGCAGGCGGGGGUGGCCAUCUGGCCCCCCCCCCUCCCGGCGGCGGCGCCCGCUCGGAACCUCUAUAUCCCAACCACUGAAACCCGUCUCUGAAAAACAAAAAAUAAUUAAGACUAACAACAACGCAACUCAUGGCUCUGACCUCGAUGAAGAACGCAGCAGAUCGGAAGAGCACACCUCUCAACUCC